rnacentral:rRNA from 1 species
UACGUAGGGUGCGAGCGUUAAUCGGAAUUACUGGGCGUAAAGCGUGCGCAGGCGGUUGGGCAAGACAGAUGUGAAAUCCCCGGGCUUAACCUGGGAACUGCAUUUGUGACUGCACGGCUGGAGUGCGGCAGAGGGGGAUGGAAUUCCGCGUGUAGCAGUGAAAUGCGUAGAUAUGCGGAGGAACACCGAUGGCGAAGGCAAUCCCCUGGGCCUGCACUGACGCUCAUGCACGAAAGCGUGGGGAGCAAACAGG